rnacentral:misc_RNA from 1 species
GUGAAUCAUCGAAUCUUUGAACGCACCUUGCGCUCCUUGGUAUUCCGAGGAGCAUGCCUGUUUGAGUGUCAUUAAAUUCUCAACUCUCUUUUGCUGUUUUGUAAAGGGGAGCUUGGAUUGUGGAGGCUUGCUGGCCACUUGUUUGGGGUCAGCUCCUCUGAAAUGCAUUAGCGGAACCGUUUGCGAUCUGCCACAAGUGUGAUAAACUAUCUACACUGGCGAGGGGAUUGCUCUCUGUGUUGUUCAGCUUCUAAUUGUCUCUGUCUGUGAGACAACUUCUUGAAUACUUGACCUCAAAUC